AUGGAGUCCUCGCUCUGCACAGCAUCGCGCGCCAGCGCCACGGUGACCGGAGCGGGUGCCGGCAUGCGGCGCCGCCGCGCCCCGGCCCGUGCCGGCACGUCGGGACGAUGGUGGCCUCACGCUCUGCGCGCCCAGGCGAGCGCGACAGAGCCGUUGCACCUGGCACCGGCGAAGGGACGACAGCCGGCGCUGCCCUGGACCGCGCUGAGGGUGGGCGCCGGCGUCGCGCUCGCGCUGGCCCUGGGCGGCGCCUCGUGGUCAGCGCGCGGCGGCGGCGGCGGCGCCGUCCUCGUGCAGCCUGCCAUGGUGUACACGCUCAACGCCGUCACGGACGGAACGGAGCGGGGCGGCACCCCGGCGGCGGCGGUGAGGACGAGCGUGGGCGCGCUCUCGGACUCGCUGUUCCGGCGCGAGGACGCGCCCAGGGAGCACGCCACGCUCAUGGACCUCGUCUUCGAGCAAGUCACCAAGGAGCACAUCGGCGACAGGGGGAAGCUGACGAGCCUGCUGCAGAAGGAGUGGGCGGCGUCGCGCGACUCGGAGAGAAAGCUCGACCUCGGCUUGCUGCUCGCCGAUGUGCUCAUCAAUCAGAGAGAAUGGCAGAGGGCCAAGGAAGUCUGCCAGCAGCUGACUGGCCGCUACCAACGCGACCCGAGGCCAUAUUUACAUCUGGCUGUGGUGAACAUGAUGAUGGCGGUGGAGACCAUGCUAUCCCCGGAGACGGCCACCGCCGACGACAUUGAGAAGAUGUCCAAGAAUGCCAUGGACGCCUGGAAAGAAUUCAAGAACAAGUACGAGCUGGCCAAGGGAACAACGGAGUCCAGCACCUGA
rnacentral:rRNA from 1 species